CGCCGCCGGGGGAGCCUGGAGAGUCCAGUCACCGUUGUGAAUGAUGAGGUGAUGUCAGCGCUGGUUCGGCCCCGGUCGGUGACGG
rnacentral:tRNA from 1 species